CCUACGGGAGGUAGCAGUGAGGAAUAUUGGUCAAUGGACGAGAGUCUGAACCAGCCAAGUAGCGUGAAGGAUGACUGCCCUAUGGGUUGUAAACUUCUUUUAUAUGGGAAUAAAAUGUUCCACGUGUGGGAUUUUGUAUGUACCAUAUGAAUAAGGAUCGGCUAACUCCGUGCCAGCAGCCGCGGUAAUACGGAGGAUCCGAGCGUUAACCGGAUUUAUUGGGUGUAAAGGGCGCGUAGGUGGAUUGUUAAGUCAGUUGUGAAAGUUUGCGGCUCAACCGUAAAAUUGCAGUUGAAACUGGCAGUCUUGAGUACAGUAGAGGUGGGCGGAAUUCGUGGUGUAGCGGUGAAAUGCUUAGAUAUCAUGAAGAACUCCGAUUGCGAAGGCAGUUCACUGGACUGCAACUGACACUGAGGCUCGAAAGUGUGGGUAUCAAACAGGAUUAGAUACCCCAGUAGUC
rnacentral:rRNA from 1 species